rnacentral:lncRNA from 1 species
GAUCAACUAUCGCCAACAUUCACUAUAAGGACUCAUUGAGAUCCAUAUUUAUGUGUCAAUCAAACUCUAGCAGCUUCACUGUGAGUAGUAGUACUAUCUCAGGUCAAAGGACCAAUCGCACAACUACAGCAUCGAGACAAUCACUGACGAUUAAAUAGAAAUUCACGUAAUCUCUCGUAUGGUCAUGCUUAGUACUAGUUGUUCUCUAACAACUAUCCGCACUCAUCGUCUAGUGUCUCUAUACUGUAGAUCAGAGACUCAUCUAUCUCAAAGAAAGCGAUCUGUACAUCGAUCAAGCCGGAUCGAUCACCAUCCUCAUGAUGAUUC